UUUCUGUUUUCCAGCUUUUCCAGCUCCUGGGUUGCUUGUCUAGCUAAUUCAGCAGUAUGGUACACUGAGGUUCUGCACUGCUACCAAAAUGAUGAUCCAGCGACACCAGCUGGUGCAGUCCGUGCUCCAGGAGCUGCAGGAGGCUACUGAAUGCUUUGGGCUCGAGGGACUGACAAGUGCAGCCCUGGAGGCUGAGCGCACGUUGUCAUCUUUCUCCUUACCCAGCUACACUGGGAGGCAAUUCCAGGAAGAGCUGGAAGUUGACCGGGUGGCACUGAAUCUGUAUCCUGAAGAUGCUCCCAGCCAUAUGCUGCCCUUGGUUUGCAAAGGAGAAGGGAACCACCUGUUUGAGGCUGCCAGUAUGCUGCUGUGGGGGGGCACCAGCUUGAGUCUGGAGCUGCAGGUGCGCACCGCAGUGGAAAUGUUGCUGCACAAGCAGUACUACCUGAAUGGCAUGAUUGACUCCAAGGUGAUGCUGCAGGCUGCCCGCUACUCGAUGUGCACUGAGGAAUCUCCAGAGAUGACAAGCUUGCCUCUGGCCAUCCUGGAGGCCAUUUUCGAUGCUGACAUCAAAGCCACUUGCUUCCCGGGCACGUAUGCCAACAUGUGGCACGUGUAUGCCCUGGCAUCAGUGCUGCAGUGCAACAUCUAUUCCAUCUACCCGAUGAGCAACCUAAAGAUCCGGCCAUACUUCAACCGACUGAUCCGACCCAGGAGGGGCAACUUGCAAGUCUCCACACUCCACAUCAUGUGGUCUGGGCAGCAGCUGUCCUCUCAGGUGUUCAAAGCUCAGUCCUUUGUGCCUGUUGUUGGCCUGGAAGAGCUGGAACCCGCGAACCCCCCUCCGGAGCCUCAAGUGCAGCCGGUGAAGACUCUGGAGCUGCUGAACAAGGAUCCGCAGGUGACAUACUCUAACCUGCGUGAAAGAUACAGCAUCACAAAAAGUACCUUCUAUCGAUGGAAGCGCCAGUCCCGAGAGCACAGGCAGAAAGCAGCAACCAGGUUUGCAGCCAAGCACUUCCUGCAGUCCCGCUUCCAAGAGGGCAACAUCAUCCCUCUUCAGCACUUCCGCCAGAUGUUCCCGGAAAUCUCGCGCUCCACUUAUUAUGCCUGGAAGCAUGAGAUGCAAAAUGUGAUAAAUGGUGGCGAGGCCUCUUCCCCUGCUGAAACUGGGUUGCCAAAGGAUCCUCCGGCAUACAAACCAGAGGAGCUUCUUGCUGGCAGAGAUGGUGGAGGCAAGUGUGAGGGAGUCCCGGGGCCCAGAAGCCCUCUCCUGAAUCCCAGCCAAAAUGGGACCUCCAUGCAAGGAGCCAAGUCUUAUCUGGAGAAGUGCAUUUCCAUGAAUACUCUUGUGCCCUACAGAAGCUUCAAGCAUAGUUUUCCUGGCAUUUCCAGAUCCACUUAUUACAACUGGAGGAGAAAAGCCAUCAAGGGGAACCCCAACUUCCAGCCUUCCUUGCCGCUUUCCAUCAGUGAGAAACCCCUUUUGAACAGGCAGCUGCAUCUUCCAUUCAAGGCAGGCAGGCUGCCUAGCCGAAAGGUGCUCAGUGAACCUCGGAUUCUCAUGCGCAUCAAACCAUCUUUGUGCCACUGGCAAAAGCAGCUGCGUGACUUAGCCAAGAAGCGAGUCCGCCUCUGGAAAAUGCCCUUCUGCAAAUUCCGCCUGCGCUAUCCAAGCAUCUCUUCCACAGCCUAUUGGUUCUGGAGGAAAAGAAGCAGCAGCCAGACCAAGAAGCAGUGCCUUUCUUCAAAUGGGGUUUCCAAAGAUUUGCAGAGGAGACUUACAGCUGAGUCUAGUGCAAAGACAGGGCUUGACUUCCAUUCCCCACAGCCAAAGGAGACGACCGUUGCAGCACCGAUGGACAGACAAGUGCCUAAACCUUUCACUGCUAUGAUACCAGGCUACUCAAUGGCAGAAAGAGUCAACAACAGCAGCAUGUUUGUGAUGGACGUGAUCGCCACAGCUCAGUUCAAAGCCCAGGCCAAGCUGUUUCUCCAGCAACGGUUUGAGUCCAAGACCUUCCCAACAUACAAAGAGUUCAGGGCUCAUUUCCCUCUGACAGCGCGCUCCACAUACUACAUGUGGAAGCGUGCUCUGCACGAAGGGCUAACCCUGGUGGAUGCCUAGGCUCACCAAGCCCUCCUUCAGUCUGCUACUGGAAGUGGCUGUCGUCGCAUCCGAGGACUGGCAAACGCCAUGAGCACAUUUCUUAGUGUUUAGAAUACCUUGCUGAUAAAUAGAAAUGCAUACCCCAGAAAUAGUGCUAUGCACCCUGAGAUGGCAGCCUGAAUCACCCACAAAGCUCCUCUUCACUGUCACCAGCGAUCCGCUAGAAAUGGUACUUCUGAACAUACGGUACUGGCCCACCUUCCUUCCUGUCUUCUUUCCAGUGGAUCAUUUCCCCCAGCUUCCCUCUGGGUUAGCCUGAAUUGGAUGAUCUGCCCAUGUGUGGCAAUCGCACAUGCUCAGUUCAUCCAAACGAAGCUACUGAGCCCUUGAAGGAAGA